rnacentral:rRNA from 1 species
AUUGAACGCUGGCGGCAUGCCUUACACAUGCAAGUCGAACGGCAGCGGACCUUCGGGUGCCGGCGAGUGGCGAACGGGUGAGUAAUAUAUCGGAACGGUACCUUUCAGUGGGGGAUAACGUAGCGAAAGUUACGCUAAUACCGCAUAAGUUCUGUGAGCAGGAAAGCAGGGGGAUCGCAAGACCUUGCGCUGAUUGAGCGGCCGAUAUCAGAUUAGCUAGUUGGUGAGGUAAAGGCUCACCAAGGCGACGAUCUGUAGCGGGUCUGAGAGGAUGAUCCGCCACACUGGAACUGAGACACGGUCCAGACUCCUACGGGAGGCAGCAGUGGGGAAUUUUGGACAAUGGGCGCAAGCCUGAUCCAGCCAUGCCGCGUGAGUGAAGAAGGCCU